rnacentral:rRNA from 1 species
UACGUAGGGUGCGAGCGUUAAUCGGAAUUACUGGGCGUAAAGCGUGCGCAGGCGGUUCGCAAAGUCUGAUGUGAAAGCCCCGGGCUCAACCUGGGAAUUGCAUUGGAAACUGACGAGCUUGAGUGUGGCAGAGGGGGGUGGAAUUCCACGUGUAGCAGUGAAAUGCGUAGAGAUGUGGAGGAACACCGAUGGCGAAGGCAGCCCCCUGGGCUAACACUGACGCUCAGGCACGAAAGCGUGGGGAGCAAACAGG